rnacentral:lncRNA from 1 species
UCGAGAUGUCGUCUAGCUUCUCCAACUUCGUGCGAGCGGGUACAACAUCCCUCGUGACUCCAUCGACGGCUUCUCUUCGACAACGCGGGUAAGGGAACCCGCGUGCUCCAACCCGCGUCAAGACGUCGAGCAGCUCCAUUCUCGUGCGCGCGGGUACGGCUUCCGCGUGAUUCAAGCCGCGUUGGACCUCUCUGUUGCUUCAUGUCGACACGGGUUGGUGAACCCGCGUGGUACAACCCGCGUUGCAAUCACCCAUACUUGACCAAACUUCAUUCUUCAUCUCUUUUCGAACCACAAUGCUUCUAA